rnacentral:rRNA from 1 species
AACUCGCCUGCACGAAGUCGGAAUUGCUAGUAAUCGUAGGUCAGCAUACUACGGUGAAUACGUUCCCGGGCCUUGUACACACCGCCCGUCAAACCAUGAGAGUUGGCAACACCCGAGGUCGGUAGUCUAACCGCAAGGAGGACGCCGCCGAAGGUGGGGUUGAUGAUUAGGGUUAAGUCGUAACAAGGUAUC